rnacentral:rRNA from 1 species
CUACGGGUCGCUGCAGUGAGGAAUAUUGGUCAAUGGGCGAGAGCCUGAACCAGCCAAGUCGCGUGAAGGAUGAAGGUCUUAUGGAUUGUAAACUUCUUUUAUAAGGGAAUAAAAAAGAUCACGUGUGGUUUAUUGCAUGUACCUUAUGAAUAAGCAUCAGCUAACUCCGUGCCAGCAGCCGCGGUAAUACGGAGGAUGCGAGCGUUAUCCGGAUUUAUUGGGUUUAAAGGGUGCGUAGGCGGUUUGUUAAGUCAGUGGUGAAAGUUUUCGGCUCAACCGGAAAAUUGCCAUUGAAACUGACAGACUUGAGUGUAAACGAGGUAGGCGGAAUUCGUGGUGUAGCGGUGAAAUGCUUAGAUAUCACGAAGAACUCCAAUUGCGAAGGCAGCUUACUAGGCUACAACUGACGCUGAAGCACGAAAGCGUGGGGAUCAAACAGGAUUAGAUACCCCCGUAGUC